rnacentral:misc_RNA from 1 species
UACGAGGGGUGCAAGCGUUAUUCGGAUUUAUUGGGCGUAAAGGGUGCGUAGACGGUCUGCUAAGUCACUUGUUAAAUUUUCCGGCCUAACCGGAAGCAUGCGGGUGAAACUGGCGAACUUGAGGAUGGAAGAGAGAAGUGGAAUUCUCGGAGUAGCGGUAAAAUGCGUAGAUCUCGAGAGGAACACCAAUGGCGAAGGCAGCUUCUUGGUCCAUAUCUGACGUUGAGGCACGAAAGCGUGGGGAGCAAACAGG